UCGGCUGCCCUGGGAAUGCCU
rnacentral:miRNA from 1 species